UAGGGAAUCUUCGGCAAUGGACGGAAGUCUGACCGAGCAACGCCGCGUGAGUGAAGAAGGUUUUCGGAUCGUAAAGCUCUGUUGUAAGAGAAGAACGAGUGUGAGAGUGGAAAGUUCACACUGUGACGGUAUCUUACCAGAAAGGGACGGCUAACUACGUGCCAGCAGCCGCGGUAAUACGUAGGUCCCGAGCGUUGUCCGGAUUUAUUGGGCGUAAAGCGAGCGCAGGCGGUUAGAUAAGUCUGAAGUUAGAGGCUGUGGCUUAACCAUAGUACGCUUUGGAAACUGUUUAACUUGAGUGCAAGAGGGGAGAGUGGAAUUCCAUGUGUAGCGGUGAAAUGCGUAGAUAUAUGGAGGAACACCGGUGGCGAAAGCGGCUCUCUGGUCUGUAACUGACGCUGAGGCUCGAAAGCGUGGGGAGCAAACAGGAUUAGAUACCCUGGUAGUCCACGCCGUAAACGAUGAGUGCUAGGUGUUGGGUCCUUUCCGGGACUCAGUGCCGCAGCUAACGCAUUAAGCACUCCGCCUGGGGAGUACGACCGCAAGGUUG
rnacentral:rRNA from 1 species